CUAAAGGUUUAUCAUAUUUAAUUUGUAGAUAUCCAACUAAAAAAAAAUGUCGCUCAAAUAAUAAACUCAAAUUAAGAGAGAUAAUGUUAAAUCAGUAAAAAUUGAUAAGGUUUUUUUUUAGAUUAACUUUGGACAGGGCCCAUUUUAUUAAUAAUAAAAAAAAAGGCUGGACAAAACAGACUCAAUUGAGCCCAAAAAGGAAAAUAAAUAAGAUGUUGUGGGUCAAGACUCGGUCUAUCUUAACCCUCUAUAAAUAUGACCUAAAGUAGGGUUGUUAGAAUGAGAAUCGUCCAGCAACAUCCACAAAUGGCGCCGCUGGAAGCUCAUUUCAAUGACAGCUUUCCUUUGCUCCGGCUUUGGGUUAUUAAUCUUAUCGGAGAUCGAUUUAGUGACGAGCUCCUCUUGAUCAGCUCGCAAAGGAUCUGAGGCUCAGUCCCGGGGUCCCGCUUAGCAGUAGAUUGGUGUGUCUGAGAUUUGCAAUUGGUGAGUCUCCCCUAUUCCGGAAAGCCGAGCUUAUAGAACAAUGUUAUUUAGCUGAUUCAUGGUCCGACUGAGAGGCUUGUCCCAGUUUUGUUUUUGGACAUAUGUUGAAUCUUUUAAUGUUAGAGAUUUUGCAGACGAGUGUUAUGUGUUUUGAACAUUAAGGAUUUCCUUUCGAAUUGUCUAGUUAAAUUAUGACAUUGACCAUGUUUCCA